GGCACCGUGGUGUACGGAACACGCGCCGGACGUUUGGGUGGCAGAAGAUAGUUUGAGCCGGCGAGACGGGGUUCGACUCCCCGCGGUGCCC